CGUUACUCGGAAUCACUGGGCGUAAAGAGAAUGUAGGCGGGUUGAUAAGUUUGAAGUGAAAUCCAAUGGCUCAACCAUUGAACUGCUUUGAAAACUAUUAACCUAGAAUAUGGGAGAGGUAGAUGGAAUUUCUGGUGUAGGGGUAAAAUCCGUAGAGAUCAGAAAGAAUACCGAUUGCGAAGGCGAUCUACUGGAACAUUAUUGACGCUCAGAUUCGAAAGCGUGGGGAGCAAACAGGAUUAGAUACCCUGGGUAGUCCACGCCCUAAACGAUGCACACUAGUUGUUGCCAUGCUAGACAUGGCAGUAAUGCAGUUAACACAUUAAGUGUGCCGCCUGGGGAGUACGGUCGCAAGAUUAAAACUCAAAGGAAUAGACGGGGACCCGCACAAGCGGUGGAGCAUGUGGUUUAAUUCGACGAUACGCGAAGAACCUUACCUGGCCUUGACAUAGACAGAACAUAACAGAGAUGUAUUGGUGCUAGUUUACUAGAGCUGUCAUACAGGUGCUGCACGGCUGUCGUCAGCUCGUGUCGUGAGAUGUUGGGUUAAGUCCCGCAACGAGCGCAACCCUCGUGUUUAGUUACUAACAGUUCGGCUGAGGACUCUAGACAGACUGCCUGGGUAACCAGGAGGA
rnacentral:rRNA from 1 species